rnacentral:misc_RNA from 1 species
ACAAAACUGCAGAGUUGGGGAACUUAAUACAAAUUUGGAAGAAUCAUUAAAUGAACGAUAUGGAGCAACGUAGAGAUUCGUUUUAAUUCGAGAGUAAUCUUAUUAAGACUGACAAGACCCGUUGGGCUCUCUCAAUCUUUGGGUACGGUUUGCUAGAUUACAAAUCGUUCCGGUUGGCGAUGCAGGCAGCCGGUGGUCCUCGCUAGACACGGACAACGUUAAGGUUUACGCUUGGCACAGAAACGCAGCGAGCACCCGGAAGGAAGGCGGUCCGUGAGUCACAAAAUGGCGUCAGAUGAAUGUCCCCAUUAAUUAGCAGCUACCUUAACGCUCCUUCUCAUACCUUUAUCAUUCAUUUGAGUUAUUCUUGUUUCCUGCGUCUUAUCUUUUCCUUCGAGCCUCGAAUCACGUCUUAUUUCCCGGACGAAGAAUCUGCAAAGCAUCGCGGCUAUCGCGUUCAGACAUCCAGGACCCUGUUGGACAAUAAUUUAUUAACGAGUAAUUACAAUAAGUUGACAAGUGACAAAUCGUAUAGUUAUAAAAUUCUGUUGCAUAGUUUUAUAAUUCUACGUCGAAUAGAAGAAUCAGCUAAGUUGCAAAAUUGUAAAAGUGACUCGAGAACUUUAUUAUUAUGCAAUAAAAUUUAUUAAGAUUGACAAUUGGUCAAAUUUCGCUAAUAAUAAAGAUCCAGAUAAUUAAUACUUUUGUUGAAACAGGAAGACUUGUUAUAUGAAACUAACAUCGGACAAUAUGUAGACAUGUUGUAAUCGCUACAGAAAUGCUUGUGAAAACUAACGAAUUUCUUGUGAAUGUCGCUUCAAAAUCGUGUUAUUUAACAUAAAGCACUUGUUUGAUGUUGUUUCACGCCCUACAUAUUGUAGUUAAACGCGUUGUCAGGCAAAUGGAAGAUUCUUGCGGAGGAUUCUCUUACGCAUUUGCAUAACGUCACCAACGUCAAUACGGCUAAUAUCGCAAUUUUCUUGUCUCGUUGAAUAUUCUAUUUAACAGCGUACAUCCCAUGAGAUUUAACUCUUCAAUAACCUCUUAUUGUGUGCCAAUUUCGCACGCCAAUCUUGUAUAUGAUUUACAGAUAAUGAAUUAUUACGAACGUCUAUCACAUUGAGAAAGCGCCGUUUAGCGGAAUAUUUAGGGCUGAUGAUAAAUUUUUUAUGAUUUAUGCAAAUCUUAAAGUAAGAAAGAGGAGCAAGAAAAAAAUUAACAUACAUUUCUCGAAAUUGUUUUUUGGGUGCUCUAAUAUCCUUUUUCAAUAAAAAUUUAAUAGAAAAUUUAUCAGAAAUACGUGCGAAUUUUGUAUCUUUGCACUUGUUAAUAAACAAAAUCAAAUUAUUCGUUUAAUAGAUGAAUCAACAUUUUCCAGAAUACAGCGAAUGCCUCCAUAAAUAUUUUUCCUCUUAUUUGUUUUAAAAAACGUUGAGAUAUUUGAACUUCCAUGCAAAACAUAUGUCAUGUUUAUUCAAAUUCAUUUGCAUAAAAGGUUUAAUACCGGGCCAACACGCAUGCCCAAAAUUGCGAUAUGUUUUAUAUUUGGUUGCACAAAUAUUUACAGCUGUCGCAGUUUUAUAGACUUUUAAACGUCCCUUAGUAUGUUCAUAUAAUGUGUGGUAAAUCACGGACUACAUAUGGUAGAU